rnacentral:rRNA from 1 species
GAUGAACGCUAGCUACAGGCUUAACACAUGCAAGUCGAGGGACCGGCGCACGGGUGAGUAACACGUAUCCAACCUGCCCUUUACUCGGGGAUAGCCUUUCGAAAGAAAGAUUAAUACCCGAUAUAAAGGAUGGGGAUGCGUUCCAUUAGGUGGUUGGUGAGGUAACGGCUCACCAAGCCUUCGAUGGUUAGGGGUUCUGAGAGGAAGUUCCCCGACAUUGUAACGGAGACACGGUCCAAACGCGUACGGGAGGCAGCAUUGAUGAAUAUUGGUCAGUGGGCGGUAGCCUGAACCAGCCAAGUAGCGUGAAGGAUGAAGUCUUAUUGGUCGUAAACUUCUUUUAUAUAAGAAUAUGUAUUAUAUGAAUAAGGAUCGGCUAACUCCGUGCCAGCAGCCGCGGUAAUAC